rnacentral:rRNA from 1 species
UACGAAGGGUGCAAGCGUUACUCGGAAUUACUGGGCGUAAAGCGUGCGUAGGUGGUUUGUUAAGUCUGUUGUGAAAGCCCCGGGCUCAACCUGGGAAUGGCAAUGGAUACUGGCAGGCUAGAGUGCGGUAGAGGGUAGUGGAAUUCCCGGUGUAGCGGUGAAAUGCGUAGAGAUCGGGAGGAACACCAGUGGCGAAGGCGGCUGCCUGGACCAGCACUGACACUGAGGCACGAAAGCGUGGGGAGCAAACAGG